CUGGAUACAGGAUUACCCUGCUUCCGCGGUCAAACCAUCAAACUGCUCAAGCAGCGUUUUAACCCUGGAGUGAGUGAGAAGGAAGCAGCAGCUUUCAUCAUCAAAGUCAUUCAGAACUGCUUCCUGAGCAGCAGGAGCAAAACGUAUGACAUGAUCCAGUACUAUCAGAACCAGAUUCCCUACUGAAGGCCAGAGAAACCUGUGUUUGUGUGUGUUUCUCUUACUCUCUUAAUGCUAAAUUGCACUGCUGUCUCGGUCUGGUGUGUUUGUGCACUUAAUACACCUGAAAUGUGUUUGCAUGGAUUUCUACGCACUGAUAUCAGCACUUAUGAGGUGAUUUCUGCACACGUCACACUGUCUGCUGCACGAUGGGUUCAACUGUAAACAUCACAAAAUAACUUCUGUGCCAUUUUGAUUUGCAUUUGAUGUGAUUUUGUUGUCAGUCUUAAAUAAUUUACAGGUAAAUCAUGUAGUUUUUAAACUACAACAGACCAGA